GACGAACGCUGGCGGCGCGCCUAACACAUGCAAGUUGAACGAGCGAAGAGGAGCUUGCUUCUCUGAGCGAGUGGCGAACGGGUGAGUAACGCGUGAGGAACCUGCCUCAAAGAGGGGGACAACAGUUGGAAACGACUGCUAAUACCGCAUAAGCCCACGGGUCGGCAUCGACCAGAGGGAAAAGGAGCAAUCCGCUUUGAGAUGGCCUCGCGUCCGAUUAGCUAGUUGGUGAGGUAAUGGCCCACCAAGGCGACGAUCGGUAGCCGGACUGAGAGGUUGAACGGCCACAUUGGGACUGAGACACGGCCCAGACUCCUACGGGAGGCAGCAGUGGGGAAUAUUGCACAAUGGGGGAAACCCUGAUGCAGCGACGCCGCGUGGAGGAAGAAGGUCUUCGGAUUGUAAACUCCUGU
rnacentral:rRNA from 1 species